AACGCACGAGACCUGCGGACCUGCGGAGGGAUCAUUAAUGAGAAGCUGCCCCUCGUGGGUAGACCUCCCACCCCCUGUGAACUUACCUUUGUUGCUUUGGCAGGCCCGUCCUCUGGACCGCCGGCUUCGGCUGGCCCGUGCCUGCCAGAGGAUUCCAAACCCUGUCUGUCAGUGUUGUCUGAGUCUAUAUGAAAUCGUUAAAACUUUUAACAAUGGAUCUCUAGAUCGGAAGAGCACACG
rnacentral:misc_RNA from 1 species